UACGUAGGGGGCAAGCGUUGUCCGGAAUCAUUGGGCGUAAAGAGCGCGUAGGCGGCCCGACAAGUCCGCUGUGAAAGUCAAGGGCUCAACCCUUGAAUGCCGGUGGAUACUGUCGGGCUAGAGUCCGGAAGAGGCGAGUGGAAUUCCUGGUGUAGCGGUGAAGUGCGCAGAUAUCAGGAGGAACACCGAUGGCGAAGGCAGCUCGCUGGGACGGUACUGACGCUGAGGCGCGAAAGCGUGGGGAGCAAACAGG
rnacentral:rRNA from 1 species